GCCGGACACGGGACUCAUCCAGCCCCAUGGAGGCUCCAGUCCGGGCUGGAGCUUUGGAGCGGAUCAUUUACAAGGAACUGGAUUACUAUACACAACUUGGGUGCAAACCGCCACACGGGCCCACUUCAACCAAAACUGGUCUGACGUGAGAGCAGCCAUCUGAAGAGCAGCCGCGGGAUCAUGAGGCGAAGGAGUCCUGCAGGUUGUCAGAUCAGUUUUGGACGAAGGAUGUGGUGAAAAGCUGCGCAGCGGUGACAGAUGCAAGUUUAUGAAAGGACCGGAGUCUCUGCGGGAUUGGAGGUGUUGUUUUAUAGCGACGAGGAGGCUCAGAGCUGAAGGGAAGAGGAGGCCACUUCAGCUUGUUUACACGAACUAUGAAACCGCUGUUCAGCAGGAUAUAUUUACUGUGUGUCUUUUAAACAUGAGCUCCGUUACGCACCAGAACGGGAGGGAAACUUUAUCUUCACAAACCGUGUGACACAGAGGUUUCCCUGCCUCCUGGAGCAACCUUGAGAAAAAGACAAAAAAAAAAUCCUUGCCAAAAUCUGCAGAAUAAAGUGACAUAUUUCACGUUUCAAAAAAUACCUGCCUCCCUGACACGCACGCUCGUUCCCUCUCCUCCUCCCAGGCCUUUUGUUUUCUUUGACACGUGCACUCCAAUUAGCAUUUUUCAGCCAUUAAGGAGGAACGAGAAACAGCCAAAUGUUUGUCUCAGCCGGCACUUUUCUCACCGACAAGACUUUUCUUUCCGAGGCCUGGUGGAGAAAAAAAAAGAAAGAGAAAGAAUGAACAUUUUUUUUUUUACAUUCAGACAGACUCAAUAUUAUCCUCGAUGUUAACAUUAUCUUCUUCACACAACAAUUACCAAUAGCUUUGUGCGAGAAAGUGAUGUGACAAUGCAGCCACUAGGGUUUGUGAGAGCUGUUGUCAGUCUGCAUUUUGGAGCAAUUAAAACGAUUAAAAUGAGUUUUUAUGAGAGAACACAGGCGAGGAGGAUUAUUUUCUUCCUGGGUGAAGUCCUGUGAUCUGUUAACUAAAUAUUUCACUGUCUCAGACGGAGGAACACCAGGCACAAUACAACUAACCUUUUCUACAAUAAAACACAACAGUCUCUGGAGGAUAACACGCAGAAAACGUUCAGUUCGACAGUGGGAGCACACUGAGAAGUCGACUUUUCUUCUUCUUUUUUUUUGUCAUCUGUCCUCUUGUGUGUCAAAUUAGAGCGUCCUAAUCUUCAGCUUUACUCCUAAAUUUAAAUCAGCGAAUUUCAAAUUGCUCAGAUCCCUCGCUGCGGGCUUUGGCUGCGAAAAUCUGUCACCGCCGCUGGUGCGCUGUACAUUAAGGGAGGAAAAUGCUCUUAAAAAGGUGCUUUUCUGACAUUAAAAUGACUUGUGUGCACAGCGCCGCUCGAUCCGUGUAGUUUGAGGCAUAUAUUUAUGAAUAGGAACCUUUAAUUAGGGCUUGUGUUUCCUCCCUAGUCACAUUGAGGGAUGGUCCUCGCCGACAUUCAUUAAUGAUAAUCACCAAGAGCGAUGGCAUAGCUACAGGCCAAGUCUCCGGGGACCCGACACUUGAAAAGAAGCAUUAAAUUACACAGAGGGACUCUUUAAUUGCAAAAAGGAAAAUAUAUAGCCAUCAUUGUUAAAUAUGAUCUUUUGUAAGCCUUUACUGGUUCAAGGAUUUGUCUAAGGGUUUCUUAUCCUCAGUCUUUCAAAUGGAUCUAGAGCUAUUUCUGCGAUAAUGCACAGAGCCCCCUUAGAUUUAUUUAUCAAGCAAAAACUGAGAAUGUAGGAUCAUUCUACACGUUAGCAUUUUGUUGUAUAAUCACAUUCCAUAUGAAAAUAUAAAGCAAGACAUAGAGUGACUGCGCAUUCACAGAAAAGUUGUGUUUGACCUAAAAACACAACUUUAUCAACCUCAAUCUGUAGGAGACAUGUAGCUGUGUAGUUGAAAAUUGCACAUCAGCUUCGUCGGGGGAAAAGCAAGAUUGUGCACAUGCGACUGGCGUGAUUCCACUUAUCUUAAGUCCAUCUUUAAGAUUAGAACGAUUACCAUUUAUGUGCGUGUGCGUCUCAGGACAAUAAGAUAUGUUCAAAACGAUGUUCAAAAAUGUGUUUAUAGUGGAAGGAGCCUCAGCCACAGACACUAAUAUCAAGAUGUGAUAUUCCCUGAACAGAUAGAUUUUGAAAGUAUUGAUGAUUUUUUAAAAGCAUCUUUACUUGUAUCUCUAUUUAUUUCUGUUUUGUUAUUACCCGUGUUUUACCAACUACUCAACUUGUAAAUUUAGCGAUAAUUAUCGAUAUAAUUAUUUACUGCCUCUUAUCUUUUUGUCCUCUGGUCUGGACGAGUUGUUCUUGAUCUGUGUCCUUGUGGUGAAGACAGGGGAUGCAGAUGAUAAAAACAAAAUCUUCUUUGUUAAUGAAAAGAUCUCGAUCGGGGGAAAAAAGAGAGGUUGUGCAUGAAGACACACAGACAUGACGCACACGUUCGUACUCACACACACCAACUCGUGACCUAAUUGCUCAGUCUCACUCAACUAAUUAAUCACAGCUGACUUAACAUGGUGACAAGGUUAGGUAGGUGACAUUCUCCAAAAAAUCUGCCUCCUCUUUUUCUCCUUCCUGCUCCCGUCUAACCCUCCUCGUGUUUCUCCACUUGGCUUCUUCUUCCUUUAUCCCUUUAUUUUGCCAUCUUUAGUUUUCCCCUGCACUACAUUUCUCUUUUUAUUUCUCAUUUCUUUCAUUAUUUUGUGGAAUCCUUUCUUCCAUGUCGUCUGACUUUCAACCUUA